GAUCAAAGGACGCGGAAGGUUGUUUUGGAAAAGCCAUGGACCAUAGACAAUAUUUUAUUAGCACAAUCGCAAUUAUAACAAUUGGUAAAGUCUCAAUAUAGUACAAUAUAUAGAAGUAGAUAAAAAAAAGUUAAACAUGUAAAUAAGCAAUACUUUCUAAACAGGAUAUUGAUAUUUGAUAUCAUUAAUGGUUUUGUAAAACAUUAUUUCUAACUUUCAACAAUUCAGAAAUGUAAUUUGAACAUAUCUUUGAUAUUUUUACUGACCCACUGUUUAACAAUAGUUUUGGCUUUAUGCUAUCAUUUAAUAUGUAUAUUUCUAAAAUUUAUACAAUUUUGUCACACAGAUUUCUCUUUCCUUUUGAUAUUUAAGGCAAUGCCAAAUAAAGUGAUUUUCAUCUUCAAUUUUGUUGUGUGUACACACUUUACAAAAUCUUUCAUUUCUUAUCAUUCUGUUAUAUCUCCCUCUUUCUAUUUCAAGGGAAUGAGCAUUUAAUCUCAUUUAAGCUAUAACAGAACGAUCAGACUUGAAAGUAAAUUUAUAUGCAGUCCAGAGACAAGGAUAAAAUAAUGAUAGGGUUCCAUUGGAAACUGUUUGUAAGUAUUGUAAUCAUUAAUUUUGAUUUUUUUUAAAAUGGUAUUGACAAAUCAAAAUCAAGAAUUGCUUCUUGGUGCCACAUAUUGUCCAAUUUGAACUAAAGGACAAUUUUUAUAUAGACUUUUCAUACAUUAUUCUAACUAAAUUUAGUAGGAAUCAGUCAGAAAAUUUAGUGAAAAUAAGAUUUCCUAUAUGGUUAAUUAAUAACAUUUGAAUCAACAUUGCCACGUAUGACAUCUAAAACAACAAAAAGACCUUUGCAAUUGAACAGCAAAUCACCACUCCCAUAAAGUUUGGAAAGAUUUUCGCCCUGCUUCUUCAAAAGAAGAAAUAGAUAGUUGGCCAAUCAGAAGCAAGAAAUCCAUCUUAUUGUUAAAUCCCGGGAUUUUUGUAAAUGAUUACCCAGUCUUCAUUUCAAUAAAGUGUGAAGAUAUUUUUUGUCUUGUCAUUUUUGAAAAGAUGACAGUUUUACCAAUCAAGAUAUCUCUGGAGAGGAGGAGGUAAAAAAAUGUGAACAGCUGAAAAGUGACGGACACCAAGUGAUGAUAAUUCACACUUUUGGGCCAUGUGAACUAAAAUUAAUUGAUGACAUACAUGCAUAUGUACAUGUAUUUCGUAUGUUUGAAAGUGAUAUGUCAAUGAGAUAGCAAUUCAACGCAAACAAGAGGCUGUCAGAGUGACAGCAAACCGGAUUUUCCUGCAUGAAAAUUAUAUUUGCAAAUCUGGACCCCCAAACAGGAUCAAGUAAAAAAAUAAAUGUAUUUUUGUAGGGUUCAGAAAUGGAAAGGCCAAAAUUAAUCUAAGUAUCACUUUUCGCUACUUAAAGGUCUUCAACUCGACAACGAUAAAAGCUAAAAUCAUGAAAAUUAAUCUAGAUCUUCAUUUAGUCACAGGAAACAACAUAUUUAAAUUUGAAAAGAUUUCGUCAACGAGUUUUCAAGUUAUUGCACGGACAAUGCUCUAAGCAUCACUUUUCACUACAUAAAGGUCUACAGCACACCUUUCAAUUAAAGAACCUUAGUGAGCGCGCUCACAUACCCUACAUCCCCACAUUGUCAUUGGAAAAAUAAAAUAAGUGUAAGAAAAAAAAAUUGUAUCAGAAAAAAAUUGAAUCAUAAUUUCCUGUCAAUAUGCACAUCUACAUAGUAUGUCCUUAUUAUCUACACAGUUUCAUGAAAUUCUGUUGUGUGGUUUGAGAGGAGUUGCGAUGACAAAAGGUUGCAGUAGUAUAUUGGGCAAAUAAGUUCAAAGGGGCGUAACUCCUGGAAAAUAAAUGAAUCGUAAUUUCCUGUCGAUAUGCACAUCUACGUAGUAUGUUCUUAUUAUCUGAAAAGGUUUCAUGAAAUUCUGUUGUGUGUUUUGAGAGGAGUUGCGAUGACAAAAGGUUGCAGUAGUAUAUUGGGCAAAUAAGUUCAAAAGGGCGUAACUCCUAGAAAAAAAAUUGAAUCGUCAUUUCCUGGCGAUAUGCACAUCUACGUAGUAUGUCCUUAUUAUCUAAAAAAGGUUUCAUGAAAUUCUGUUGUGUGGUUUGAGAGGAGUUGCGAUGACAAAAAAUUGCAGUAGUAUAUUUGGCAACUAAGUUUAAAGGGGCGUAACUCCUGGAAAAAAAAUUGAAUCGUAAUUUCCUGUCGAUAUGCACAUCUACGUUGUAUGUCCUUAUUAUCUGAAAAGGUUUCAUGAAAUUCUGUUGUGUGGUUUGAGAGGAGUUGCGAUGACAAGAAAUAGGACUGACGGACGGACAGACAAACGGACAGACGGGUCAAAAACAUUAUACCCUCCGCAACUCGUUGCGUGGGGUAUAAUAACCAAUAACAAAUAUAGUUUACCUAUUACUCAUUAUAAAUGAGAAACAGACAAACCCUUCUGGUAGCUCAAGUUCAGAUGACUCCUGUAAUAUUGUUGACCAUUUACCAAUUAGUAAAUUUAAAUUUGACCCAAGCAUCUGGCAUAGCUAGUUGUAAUGUGAAUGGAGGUUAAGGUCAGGUUAUGGAGGUUCAAACAGAUGGCAGACACGAAGUGAUAAUAGCUUAUUUACACUUUAGGCCAGGUUAGCUAACAAAUAACAAAAUAGCUCAAGAAGGUCCUCUUCGCUAACAAAAGGAUAUGUGUGUAUAACAAUAAAAGAUUAAAUAAAACAUUUAAAACUCUACAUCAUAAAUUCAUAACCCUUGUCACAUGAAUGAACCCCUUAAUUAAAUAUUUUAUUAGUGUUCCUGUUGACAAUUUUAAUGCUUGCUAUGUAUCAGAUGCUAAAUUAUCCAUAAAGAAUCCAUAUUUUGUUUAUGAAAAUCGUCAAUCCCAAAUUAAACAGAAUGUUUGACUACUAGAAAUUUUGAACAGACAGUAUACUGAUCAUAUUUAAAGGCAUAACACAAUAAUACACAUGAACUCAAAAAGUGUUAUCAUUUAUUGAUAUAUAUCGUAAAGCUGACACAAAACAAACCAAUGGAUAUCACAGCCUGUAACAAA